AGCGAGAUGGCGCAGCUGGUAGCGCGCUGGGCUCAUAUCACGCAUACAAUGUGCAGGAUUUUGCAACCCAGAGGUCGUCGGAUCGAAACUGACUCUCGCUA
rnacentral:tRNA from 1 species